UAUCCUGAUGAACUUGGGUUCGACUCUAACCAUCCCUCUUUUAACAAUUUUUUUUUUGCCAUUUAGGUCUACCAGAGGAGAGAGGUAAAACGUUACAGCCUGUCUCUCUCCUUCAAAACCCUCUCUCAAGACACACACAGCAGGCCUUCGAACACCACAAACAUUGUCGCUUUUCCGAUCAAAACCUUGGUGGCAUUCAUCACGGGAAAGACAAAGUACAUGAGCGGGAGAUGAUGAUUUGUGGUGGUGAGCAACCAGAGCGACGAUAUGGGUAUAAGAAGAAAGCCCGAGCAUAAGAAAGGGUUUUGGACAAAGAGAGGUGCUGGCUCUAGGGUUCCGGCUGUUGGUCCUGGCAACGACCAUAACCGACGGUCCCGCGAGCCCAGUGGUGGUAGCGAUUUGGGUUGAUGUAAAACGGUGGAAGUGUUCAGGUUUUGACAGAGGAGUGACGACUGCCGUUUGAAGGCUUGGUAUUCCGGCGAGGUGUUUUCCGGUCUAGAUCCAGACAAUAUUCCGGGUUAUUCUAGACCUCCGACCAAAAUCCGGUGAACGACGGUGGUUGUAACGGUGAGUGGCGAAGAUGACACAAAUAUAAUGCGACGAGUAUCAUUGACGAGGUAAACUUUUAAAAUCCUUACUUUCCGUAAGCGUAGAUGUUAAUGUUUGUGCCGGAAUCGGUAAACGGCAAUGACUGUUACCAGUGGUAUUUUGAGAUGUUUAGAGAGGGCACUGUGGUGUUAGGCCAAAUAUACUUUUUAUGCAUUUCUAUGAAACUGAAGUUUUCAAAUAUUUUUGUUGUAGAUUUUAUGUAUUAUUCCUAAUGCUUUAGUUUUAAAUUUGAUGCAUUUUUGUGUUAAUCUGAAUUAAUUUUAUUAGUCGUGUCGCAUCUUCAUCCGCAGCUGGCUCAAGACAAGAUCUGGCUUAUAAAUUUUAUUAGUGUAUCCCUUUCAAAUUUUGAAUUUGAAAUUCUGGAUGGUAGUUAAUCUUUUCAUUUGAUUUUAACUCAAAUUUGUUUAAUAACUGCUUGAUUUGUGCUCACUUUGUUCAAAAUUUUCUAACAUUAUACCCCCAAUUGAAGUUUGAAAUUGUGUUAAUUUUAUAUGUUUCAUAUGUUAGCACAUUCAAGCAUAGAUGAUUCUUUGGCAUGUUGGUUCAGUUUAAAUCAAUUGAUAUAUCGAUGGGCUUUGGAUGAUUACUAUGGAAAGGGGACCGUGGUUAGGUACUGUGGUUCAUCUUUUACUUUUUAUUAGUUAGACUCAUUUAGUUUGGAAACUGAUAGAAAGUGGUAAUAUUGGUCUAACCCGGGCUUCAAAUACCAAUGCUUGCCUAAUGUUAACAAUCAACUUGAACUUGAGGUGCUGUUUAUAAUCAACGGUCGUCCAGAUCCGUUGCCGCCUCCAUUUGGUGUCAUCUUGUUUGCCUUACCGUUUUGCUCAUCGAACCCUUUAGGGUUCCAAGACGACAGUUGUCAGUGGCGAUGGUGGCAGGCUAUGGAUGGUGACGACGGAGUGUUUGUGGUCGUGGGCUUUUUUGAUAUAGAAUACUGUAUCAUUUAUCUUUAACUUAAUGAAUUUUAAAGUCUAUAUUUAUUUUUAAGAAGUCAAUCUCAAAUAAAUUGUAUUAGUAUUAGCUCAUACCUGACCUUUUAUCACCUUUAUUCGAUAGUCUAGAUGCAGCAUAAUGGUUAAGAUGUAGUUAUCAAUUUUCCUUUGUAUUAUUUAUUCAUAAUAGAAAAAGAGGAUUAUUAAUGAUCUAUAUUUAGCUGAUGUGAGAUCAACUGGAUCUUCAUGACCUUAUGCUUAGCCGUUAUCAUCAGAUUUAGAGAUACCAAACACAUGGGUAAUGCUUCAGGUAUGGUGUUUUAAGAAAAAAAUUAAACAGUUUGUUAAAUGCCUAAUAUACCUUUAAUUGAUUUCACUAUAUCGUGAUCAGGUUUGACGGGUAUAACGAUCAUGUUGGUUACUACUUGCUUGAUGUCUCUUAUUUUCGUCUUACACUGGCACCAAAAUGUUAUUCUUGCAAUCGCUUUUGUGGUGUUUUUUAGGAUGAUUGAAGCACUGUACUUUUCGGCUUUUCUUCUCAAGUUUCUAGAAGGGGCAUGGGUCCUCAUAGCACUCUCGCUCAUUUUCAUGCUUGUGAUGUACACGUGGCACUAUGAUACACUUAAAAACUAUGAAUUUAAUAUCCAAAACAAAGUAUCAUACACUUAAAAAAUAUGAAUUUGAUAUCCAUAACAAAGUAUCAGUUGAUUUGGCUACUGAGCAUGUGCCCGACACUUGGUUGGACCUUGCUAGCUAGAAAGCAUGCCGAGUUCCAAGACUCGGAACGAAAAAAAAAAGUUAAAGAGUGUUGUAUUGUUUUUUCACAGUGAAAUACUUCAAAGAGUACAAAUACUACAAGUUGGAUGGAUUGGCUAAAGUCCCAAAUGUCAACACAAGUUCAGCACCAAGCCAAACACCCACGUGGCAGGUUCCGUCGAUACAUCCGAUCUCCCCAGCUACAGUGUUCGGGUUGAAUCCUCCUAUUGUUUGCAGUAAUUCAAUUUAAGUAGCCGCAACGCGGCGACACGAAAAAAAACCUAGUGUGUUUAAAUUUACAAAAUCUAUAUAUCCGGGCCUUUGGGAAGACCUGGCCUUGGUCAUUGCUUA